CUCACUCCUGCCUCUCCUUCCCAUUCUAUCUUCGUGCGCCACCACCUCCUCUCUCCCGCGCAGGCUUUCUUAUGUAGCUGGGAGGAAGUGAUUGACUGUCACUUCUUCCCAGCUGGCCGAUACUACAGGGGCCUGGUCUCCCUCUUAAAGGAUUGUUGUGGCUCGCCGGGAACCUGUUCAGCAAUAUCCAAUAAUUGGCCCUAAAUGC